rnacentral:rRNA from 1 species
GACGAACGCUGGCGGCGCGCUUAACACAUGCAAGUCGAACGGAAAGGCCUGCUUUCCCUUGUGGAUUGCGGGUACUCGAGUGGCGAACGGGUGAGUAACACGUGAGUGAUCUGCCCCCAACUUGGGUAUAAGCCUGGGAAACUGGGUCUAAUUCCCGAUAGGACUGCAGGGUGGUGCCUGUGGUGGAAAACGAUUUUCUAGUGGUUGGGGAUGAGCUCGCGGCCUAUCAGCUUGUUGGUGGGGUAAUGGCCUACCAAGGCGGCGACGGGUAGCCGGCCUGAGAGGGUGGACGGCCGCAUUGGGACUGAGAUACGGCCCAGACUCCUACGGGAGGCAGCAGUGGGGAAUAUUGCACAAUGGGCGGAAGCCUGAUGCAGCGACGCCGCGUGGGGGAUGACGGCCUUCGGGUGGUAAACUCCUUUCGACCGCGAGGAAGCCACCUGGUUGGAAGGGUGGUGACGGUAGUGGUAGAAGAAGCACCGGCUAACUACGUG